CUUGGUCAUUUAGAGGAAGUAAAAGUCGUAACAAGGUUUCCGUAGUGAACCUGCGGAAGGAUCAUUAUUGAAAUAAACCUAAUGGGUUGUUGCUGGUUCUCUAUGGGAGCAUGUGCACACCUGUCAUCUUUAUAUCCCCACCUGUGCACUCUUUGUAGACCUGGGUAGCUUUCUGAAUGCCUUGGCCAUUCAGGUUUUGAGGACUGACUUUUCUGUCUCUCCUUAUAUUUCCAGGCCUAUGUUUUAUUCAUAUACCCCAUUGUAUGUUAUAGAAUGUAAUUAAUGGGCCUUUGUGGCUAUAAACCUAUACAACUUUCAGCAACGGAUCUCUUGGCUCUCGCAUCGAUGAAGAACGCAGCGAAAUGCGAUAAGUAAUGUGAAUUGCAGAAUUCAGUGAAUCAUCGAAUCUUUGAACGCACCUUGCGCUCCUUGGUAUUCCGAGGAGCAUGCCUGUUUGAGUGUCAUUAAUAUAUCAACCUCUUUGCAAUUUGAGUGUUGGAUGUGGGGGUUGUAUUUCUUUGCUGGGCUCUCUUUAGUGAGGUCUCAAGCUCCCCUAAAAUGCAUUAGCAGAACAUUUGUUGAAUCGUUCAUUGGUGUGAUAACUAUCUACGCUAUUGACGUGAGCAGUUCAGCUUCUUCUAACAGUCCAUUUAUUUGGACAAUUUUCAUUAAUGUGACCUCAAAUCAGGUAGGACUACCCGCUGAACUUAAGCAUAUCAAUAAGCGGAGGA
rnacentral:misc_RNA from 1 species